CAAACAGCGGACCUCUGCCACAGAGAUGAAGGCAGUUCCCGGGCCCAGCAGUGGGACGUGCUGUCACUCCAUUGGGAUGAUUUUCCCUAAGCGACUCCUGGUUGUUACUUGGAUUCUAAACCGGCAGGAGCAGCCCCUACGGGCAGAGAUGGGCUGAGCAGGGGCUGCAAGGGGGCUAUGGGUGCACAAAGGUCUACAGGCGGGAUGGAACUGACGCAUCCAUCCUGCGGGCCCCAGGGGCUGUGUGACCAGGGAUGGAGGGAGGGCAUGACGUCACAGUCACCCUGGCAGAAAAGCCAGGUCUGUGAGGUCAUGGAGCUCUGGGGCCCUUCUCCCCUGCCUUGGGCACUGUGUUUUGUUUUGUUUUGUUUUUGCUUUUGCUUUUUGGUGUUUUUUGCCUUCAAAGAGGAAGGAAUGGAUGAACAGGCAAGAGAAGAACAGAGGGGAGGAGGCUGGGAAGCCAGCUCACCACUCUCCCCGUAUUUGGGAGUCGAUACGCCCUCCUCCACUCCCCGUGACCCUUACUAGUGAGGAUGGACUGAGCAAAGGAGCCUUCAGAGUCACAGGACACACUCCCAAAACGGAUGCCAGGGCAUCAGCUCUGGGUCUGGAGAAGAGGACUUUCCUGCAAGGGACACUGGUUGUCCAUUCCGGAAGAGAAGACUCCCCACGGCCUGUUCUGCGCUGGCUCUCACCGACUGAGAAGCACUCCAAAUUUGUGCCCAAGACUAUACGGAGAAGCACGUAAAAGUUCUUGUCCCUGUUCUUUUCAUCAUAAAUCCUACUACAAGGACAACCGAAGGGAAAUUAUCAUACAUUUUCAUUUAAAAAUCUGGGGAGGGGAGGAAAGAGGAAACUCCUUUGCAAUCAGAUUUUCCCACAUUCACAUUUAUCCCUUAUUAACCAUUAAUGGCUCAUUCAUCACACUGUAGAACUAUUGUGCAAAGAUGCAUACAUUUACCCCA